rnacentral:lncRNA from 1 species
CCCACUCCUGAGCCCGAUGUCGUGUUGGCUCGCGUGAACACGUGGGCGACAGCUUCGGACGAAAGGAGUGGUUUUCCGUCUUUUCUUGCUCCGACUCUGGCGAUCACAUCAACGAACGAUCCAAUAUCGGUCGUCCCGACUGUAGGUCGAGCAUGCACGUCGGGUCGGAGGUCGGCCAACCUCCGAACGUUGCUCGUCGACACGAUCAUUCCGCAGAAUCCGAUAGUCGAGUAGCAUCCGACGUAUUCAGAUAGGAUAACGAUGGCAAAUCGAAUAUCCAUUGUCCGGCCCUUGGUCGGACGUAUGCGUCGGGAUGUAUGAUAAACGGUGGCAAGCCGAAUAUCCUUCGAUCGGUCGUGACCAGAUCGGUAUGUCGUGAAUACGACUGCGGUCGUCUUGGCGUUUUGCCUUUCUUAGUCGAAGCUAAGUCGGCAAGUUAGCCAGCCGCAUUAGUCGAAGCCCUUUGCCUUCAGAGGUGGGGGCCGUCGUAGAUUCUCCGCUCCUUCGAUCUCCGUCGUAGAAUCCGAUAUGUCCUCGACGAUCGAGACGUAGAUUGAGCAAUUGGUUCGGCGAUUCGUCGAUCAGGCCGACGACGGAGUCAUAGAUUCGGCGAUCGGCAAUCG